rnacentral:lncRNA from 1 species
CAGCCCUGUAGGAGACACCUCCAGAGAAAGUAACAGCUCUCAAUUGAUUAGCUGAGGAAGACACCAGACAAAUGAGUUACACUGUUUUGGACUCCCCAACACAAUCCAGCCACCGGCUGAAUGCCACCAAAUUACCUUCUAGUUAAAGGUUUAUGGAGCAAACGAAUCACCUAUUCAAUAUCUGCUUGAAUUUCUGACUCAAAAUACAUCAGGAGCAGGGUCAUAUAAAUUGUUAUUUAUUCAAAUUGUGGAAUAUUAUAAAGCAGUGAAAAACAAGUUAACUAUAACCAGAUGGAAUAACUUUGAAGCCUCAGGGGCUGGAUCCUGACAUGAACCAGACACCUCCAGAAUUCUAUCCCAAGCAAAAGAUUAUUUCAAGGCCAGAACUCACUCCCUGCUGGAGACUGACUACAAGAUCCACUGAGAUUGAUUUGUAACCUGAUUGGGCCCACAGUGAUGCUAGCCCCUUCACCAGAUGGAACAAUAAUUCCAGACAAGCCAUCAGAGCAGGUCACACCACUUGACACCUU